rnacentral:rRNA from 1 species
UGGGGAAUAUUGGACAAUGGGCGACAGCCUGAUCCAGCCAUGCCGCGUGUGUGAAGAAGGUCUUCGGAUUGUAAAGCACUUUAAGUUGGGAGGAAGGGCAGUAAGCGAAUACCUUGCUGUUUUGACGUUACCGACAGAAUAAGCACCGGCUAACUCUGUGCCAGCAGCCGCGGUAAUACAGAGGGUGCAAGCGUUAAUCGGAAUUACUGGGCGUAAAGCGCGCGUAGGUGGUUCGUUAAGUUGAAUGUGAAAGCCCCGGGCUCAACCUGGGAACUGCAUCCAAAACUGGCGAGCUAGAGUAGGGCAGAGGGUGGUGGAAUUUCCUGUGUAGCGGUGAAAUGCGUAGAUAUAGGAAGGAACACCAGUGGCGAAGGCGACCACCUGGGCUCAUACUGACACUGAGGUGCGAAAGCGUGGGGAGCAAACAGG